rnacentral:lncRNA from 1 species
AAACUUGUUCCUCCCUUGCUCUUUUCCUCGCACUCAACCUCCUCUCCUUUUCACUUGUCUCUGCAUGCGGUAGUUAUUCAUGCCCUAGUCCAAAGCCAAAGCCAAAGGCCAACCCCAACCCUAGUCCUUCGGGUUCAUCGUGCCCCCGUGACGCACUCAAGCUAGGUGUAUGUGCCAACGUGCUAAAAGGGUUGUUGAACGUGACUUUGGGUCAACCACCAGUAACCCCUUGCUGCUCCCUUCUCGAUGGGCUCGUUGACCUUGAGGCUGCAGUGUGCCUUUGCACUGCUCUCAAAGCAAACGUUUUGGGCAUCAACCUCAACCUUCCACUCUCACUCAGCUUACUUCUCAAUGUUUGCUCAAGGAAAGUUCCCCGUGAUUUCCAAUGUGCCUAAUAUAGCCUAUACACAACAUAUCAUAUAUAUAUAUAUAUAUAUAUAUAUAUAUAUAUAUAUAUAUAUAUAUAUAUAUAUAGCAUGUUUGAAAACUCGUUGAGGAUGGAGAAAUCAUGUCUGGGAUGUGUAAGCUACAACUAUUAGCUUCUUAAAAUCACAUCUAGAACAUGAAAAGUCGUAUCCGAAACAUGAAACCAAACAUGUUAAUCAUCCUAUCUACUUUUUCUUCGUGUUUGCUAGUUGUGGCUUUCCAUUUUUUUUUUUCAAAGUCUAUUGAUCAGCGUGUGAAUCUUGUACGUGCAUAGAGGGUUAACUUCUCGUUAUUCCUUCCUUUCCGUGUUCUUUAAAUUGUAAGGUUAGAGUGUUGCAAUAAAUUAAUAAAUAAGUUCCCGAUAUGCUUGCUUGUCUACGCAAGGGAACCAAAGAUGAUGAACUGUGUUAUUUGUUUGAUUGAGAAAUGAUCAUUAUAUGACAAAUAAUCGUUUGGAAAAUUAAUAAAUAUGUUGGGCACGUUUAUGAAGGGGGUCACUGAUGUAAUAGUACCAGAUUACGUAUGCAGGGGCUGAACAAAUAUGCUUGCUGGAUGCUGUGAGAUUUUAUAUAUGCUGCGUCAAUAGUUUAGGAGCUGGAGCAGAUUAUAUGUGUGUUGUGGGAUUUUGCAGGGUAGUGGUUCAUAAUGUAAAAGGGUUUGGUUACCCAUAUACCCUCUAUUAUAUAAAAUUUAUUUGGAUCAUAUAAAAAAAAUCCUUCUUAAUUUAUUUUUGCCCUUUCCUUUUGUAUUUUUGAAGAAUGAGAUCACCAACUGAUCAAAUAAAUUACUCGGCCGUUCUAUUUUACUAUCGUCCAAUUCCCUCGUCCCCAAAAAGAGGUCACUAACUGGCGACAUCCAAUUUAGUCCUCUAUUAAGGAGGAAAAAGCUGCAUACGAUUCGUUACCUUUUUUUACCAUGCAUGGUAUGAUCUAUUUAAGCCAUGCAUAAUAAUAAAAUUGUAUUUCAAGGUGUAUCUUUCGACUUAGUAGUGUUUUAGAUUUUGAUAAAGAUUAGACCGUGGACAUUAAGAAAUAGAGUUUAAUAUUCUUUUUCUGAUUCAAGUAUUGGUUGAAAAUGUAUAUUACGGGACGACAUAUUACUAAUCAAGUGUUAGUUGAAAAUGUCGGGAACACAAGAGAGUCCAUCAUAUUAUUAGUAACUUGUUGAACCAUGCAUUUCCCCUCAAUUUAAGAGAUCAAUGGAAGAAAAAACCAUCGACAUUCAAAUUACUUUUCCCGGUUAUAGUGACAAUAUAAUAAAUAAUAUAAACAAAUAAUAUAUUUUGAAUCACCUUAAUAUUAAAUGUAAAAUAUUUAUUUAUUUUAUUAAUGAUUAUUCUCCUUUAGAUAACCUUACAGGUCACCCAUUAAAUCUCUCUUUCCAUUUUUUUUAAUUAUAAGAUUUGAACUUCAAAUCCUACUUAAGGAAUUUAAAUCUAAUUUUACUCAAAUUAAUAACAUUUGUUAUUCAAACAUAUGAUGUAUUGAUUGUAUACAUAUUUUUAUAUAUUAAAAUUAUGCACAUCUAUAAAAUUUAUAUGACUAAAUUAUUGUUUUAAUUUUUUAUUUAUAGUUUUGGAGUCGGCAAAUAGAAAAUGGAGGAUUAUAUGGAGUGCUGUAUCUUGUGUUAUAUGGAACUGGAGGAACAACAUGGUGCUUAGAGGUGCAACCUUUCACCGGGAUAAAGUAAUCUAUGAAAUACUCUUUCAAAGCUGGUCGUGGAAUAGAUAGAUCUAGUGAGCACAGGAUUUUAGCUCCUUUGUACCGUGGGAAAUUGGUCCUGGGGAAUGCUUGUUAAUUUGAAAGGUAUCUUUAUUUUUGGCCUGAGUUCGUGGUGCUGAAAGCUGCGUAUCAGAUGCUUGUAGGAUUGCUUGGUGGAUUGUUUAUGGUCUGCUGCGGUUUGGCUGGAGUUGGUCCUUGUGGUGAGGUGCUGCUGUAUUUAGAGGUCAGGGGCGUUGGUGUUUGCUUGGUUAUGCCACUGGUUGGUUACGUGUGACUAGAAAUAUAUAUAUUGGGUAUAUGAUGGUCUUUAAUUUUCAUAGCUUCAAUCUUUUGAGUAUGCAAUUGUUCCUUGUACGUAUACUUCAAGCUUCAGGACUGUUUGAAGCAUAUAUAUUUUAGGUGAUUUUUGGUUCAGCUUUGUGGUUGGAUUUUCCUUUGUAUUAGCCACAAAGGACAUGUAUGUUUUAUUCUAUGUCAUGGCCCUACUUGUGCUGCUAUCUUAAUAAUAUAUGAGGUUCCAUUUGAUUAUUGAAAAAAAUAUUUUAAUUACCUUUUUUUAUUUAAUCGAUGUAAGUUGAUUUCUUUAUAAUAAAAGUUUUAAUUUAAUUCUUUAAUUUUCAAAAUCAUGUCAAAUUUUGUUAUUUUCAUCUAAUUGAUCAAAAUAUAUAAUCAUCAAAAUGGGUUACAAUCGACAAGCCACCCGAUCCAUCACAAAUUUGAAUCAGGUUGGAUUAUUUUUUUUCCAUUUCAUUUAUGUAUAAAAUAUGACCCACCUGACCUGUGCUGGGCUAUGUUGACUAGCGAACCAAAGACAUGUUAAUGCUACAAAAAAAACUCACUAGUCACACAGCACAACAAUUAUGAUUAGGCUUGACCUUUUUUUUCACUCUUUUUUCUUGAUUAAGUUAUUAUUCUUGCUUUCUUAUUAUUAAUUAGGCAAUUUUUUUUUUCCUUUUGAGCAACCCAUCUUCGACUGACUUGACCCACUUUGACAGCUAUAGGUGUUAGUGAAAUCUGACACGUGCCACUUUUACUCGUUUUAGCCACCAAUGCCAUUCUAAUCAAUUAAACAUAAAUGAUAAUAUUGAUGUAAUUUUUAAAAUUAAGGAAUUAGCUUAAAUUUUUAACAAUAAAAAGACCAAAUUGAAUAUAUAAAAUAAAAAUUGAGAAAAAAAGAGUAUUUUAGCCUAUUUAUAUUAAUAGUUUAAUUUUCGUAAAAAAAAUGCAUACAUAGACUAAUUCAAAACUUAUUUAUUAGAGUUUUAUUUUUGUUUAAUGAAGUGAUUUAAUAGUCAUUAUUUGCUUCUAUGAUUUUUGAAUAAAAAAUCUAUCAAUUAUUUUUUUAUACUUUACUUGAAAGAAUAAAAGUUAUUAUAUAUCAUCUAAAUUUUUGUUAUUAUUUUUAAAUAAGGUUUUAUUUUAAUGACCGUUUUUAUUUUAACAUAUGCAGUAUUACUAGAUUGUCGAAAUAAAUAUCUAAUUUUAAUUAAAAAAAACCUUUAAGAAACUAACGUACCGUUUGAUUUGAGUGUUUUUUUUUUCUAAAAAUAAUUUUCAUUUUCAAAUUUUUAAGAUUUAUAAAGCAUAUAUCAAAAAUAAAAUACUCUAUGGUGUUUUCAUUUCUUCAUAAAAAUUAAAAAUAUUGAUAUGUUGUUUUUAAUUUUGUGCCUAUUUUUAAAAAUAUUUUCAAAAAAAUACUUUCAAAAUUCUAAACAAAUGUAGUUUUAUUAUUAUUUUUUAUUUUCUUUAAAAAUAAAAACAGAAAACACUCCCAUCAAACACCACCGAAUUCUAAUUAGUUUUAAAUUAAUAAUUUAAUCGUUGCUAGUAUAGGCAAAAUAGCUAGUUGUAAUGUAAGGAUUUGAUUAAACAUGUAAUAAUUGCUGUUGGCCUAUUAGUUAAUGGUAAUGUGAGGGUUUGGCAGGCUGUCGGGAUAUACAUCAUCAUCAUUUUUUUUAACAGAGUUAUCGAUCGGAGUACUCUAGAAGGUCCAAAUUUAAAACAAAAUGGAUUUUCAAUCUUAUAGAGCUACACGAGAAUAAAUGCUAGUAAAGUUAUAAAUUGAAACUUAAUUAAAUAUACUGAAUAUAUAUACAUAUAUAAUAUAUCAUAAAAUUGAUCAAUUUUGUUAAUUUUUAUCGAUGAUAAUAUUUUUGUUUAAAUUUAAUUUUUAUAUGAUGUCAGUGUAAUUUUUUUAUAUUAACUAGUUAAAAAUUAUUCUACAUAAUUAUUAUAAAAAUUAACGAGCUCAUCAUUAAAAAUUUAAUGCAUUACAAUUAAAUUCUUCCUACUUUGUUGUUUAAAAUUUUAAAUCCAACCAAAUUGCUAUUGGCUCUAAUCUUAAAUGUAAAUAAAAAAAUAACUCAUAUAUAGUUAUUUAAAACAAAUAAAUUUUAACUUUUUUAAAAAAAAUUCUCCAAAACAUUUUUUUAUUUAAAUUUUAUCUCAAUAACCUCUUUAAUUCUCGUGAUAUGAAUUGCAUGACUUUCAGAAAGAAAGAAAAAAUUUCAAUAAAAAAAAGUUUCUAUUAAAAUAAUGUUUUAUAACAAUUAGCGUGUGAAGAGUAGUUUGAAUAAUGGACAUUAUUUUUUUAACAAAAUACAGAAAAUUAAAUAAAUUAAAACUCACUAAACUAUUCUGAAACAAUCAUCAUAUCCUUCAUCCGAGUGAAAUUUAACUUAAAUUUUUUAACUAAAAUAUGAAAUUUAAUAAUUGUCGCAAAAAAUUAUUUUUGGUGUAGUGACACUUUGUAGAUGAAAGAAAGUAAAGAAAUAAUUGAGAUGGGAGACUCUCAUAAAAGUGAAUCAUUCAUAUUAUUUAACAAAAAAAUUAAUUGUUAGUAAAAUAAAUGAAUAUUUGGUACUGAUAAUAUCAUAAAAAUUACCAUGAAUGUUUUUGAACAUAAAAAAUAGUAAAGAAUAUCUUACAUGAUGAUUUUGUAGAGAAGUUGUGGUCAAUUUACAGCCACAAUUAGUGAUACUUAGAAAUGGGACCCGCUAUUCCACGUGCAAAAGUUAGCAAUUGCAUAAUUCUGGGGGCUCCAACGAUCUUACGGUCGCGGAAUCAAGUUGCCCAACGGAUGCAAAACUUUGCUUCCCGCAGAUCCACCGAUUGAUGACAGUCCCUACAUCAACAAGUCACGAGCAUCCAAAAGUUAAGGACUUAAUUUUUCGCCAGCUAAAAUUCGAUCUCAUGUUCAUACAUCAUUAUUUCAUUAGCUUCAUAUUUAUUUAUAAAAUAAAUUAUGUUUAUUUUUUAUUGUCAAAAAUCAAAUACUGUACUUAAGGUAUUAUAUGUCUUUAUUCUUAAUUAAAAUUAGCAUUUCAUCUAGAUAAUUAUUCUUAAUUUUAGUUAUAAAUAAUAGUAAUUAUUAAAAUAAAAUUUUCAUUUUAUUGAAAAAUCACUCCAAUUAUUUUUAUAAUACCAUAUCUAGAUUUAAUUUAUUUUUAAGAGAAAAAUCACUCUCAUGCAUGCAUUCAUAUGUUCCUUUUAUCGGUAAUAUAUAAUACUUUUUUAUAUUUUUUAUUAAUAAAACUAAUCUAUCAUUAAUUAUAUCAAUUUUGUAAAUGUCUUUUAAUUUAAGCUUUAUAUUUUACCUAUAUCGUACAUAUAUAAUACAAGAACUACUUGCUAAUUUUUUAAUAGACUCCUCAUCAUAACCCCCUUCACUUCAAAACACCAUGAGCACUAUAUAAACUACCUUCCACAGCAAAUUACUCCCAUCCUCACAAACACUCUUCUCCUAAGCUCUAGCACUUAACUAGCAAUAUUAAUUAGCAUUUGCUAGAGAGACUAGGAGUAUAAACAUACCCCAGUUUAAGAUGGCUUCAAAAACUUGUUCCUCCCUUGCCCUUUUCCUCACACUCAACCUCAUUUUCUUCUCACUUGUUUCUGCAUGCGGUUAUACACCAUGCCCUGGUCCAAACCCAAAGCCAAGGCCCAACCCCAACCCUAACCCUAACCCUAGCCCAAGUGGCUCCUGCCCCCGUGAUGCACUCAAACUAGGUGUAUGCGCCAAUGUGCUAAACUUGGUGAACGUCACUUUGGGUCAACCACCAGUUACCCCUUGCUGCAC